UACGUAGGGACCAAGCGUUGUUCGGAUUUACUGGGCGUAAAGGGCGCGUAGGCGGCAAUUCAAGUCAGCUGUGAAAUCUCCGAGCUUAACUCGAAACGGUCAGAUGAUACUGCUUUGCUAGAGUGCAGAAGGGGCAACCGGAAUUCUUGGUGUAGCGGUGAAAUGCGUAGAUAUCAAGAGGAACACCGGAGGUGAAGACGGGUUGCUGGGCUGACACUGACGCUGAGGCGCGAAAGCUAGGGUAGCAAACGGG
rnacentral:rRNA from 1 species